rnacentral:misc_RNA from 1 species
AAAUGCGAUAAUUAAUGUGAAUUGCAGAAUUCAGUGAAUCAUCGAGUCUUUGAACGCACAUUGCGCCCCCUGGUAUUCCGGGGGGCAUGCCUGUCCGAGCGUCAUUGCUGCCCUCAAGCACGGCUUGUGUGUUGGGCUUCCGUCCCUGGCAACGGGGACGGGCCCAAAAGGCAGUGGCGGCACCAUGUCUGGUCCUCGAGCGUAUGGGGCUUUGUCACCCGCUCCCGUAGGUCCAGCUGGCAGCUAGCCUCGCAACCAAUCUUUUUAACCAGGUUGACCUCGGAUCAGGUAGGGAUACCCGCUGAACUUAAAC